rnacentral:tRNA from 1 species
GGGGUUGUGGCUCAGUGGUAGUGCACUUGCCUAGCAUGCAUGAGGCACUGGGUUUGAUUCUCAGCACCA